CGGGGGGGUGCUAUACAUGCAAGUCGAGCGAAUGACGAGGAGCUUGCUCCUCUGAUUUAGCGGCGGACGGGUGAGUAACACGUGGGCAACCUGCCCUGCAGACUGGGAUAACUUCGGGAAACCGGAGCUAAUACCGGAUAAUCCAUUUUACUUCAUGGUGAAAUGUUGAAAGGCGCUUUCGCGCCACUGCAGGAUGGGCCCGCGGUGCAUUAGCUAGUUGGUGGGGUAACGGCCUACCAAGGCGACGAUGCAUAGCCGACCUGAGAGGGUGAUCGGCCACAUUGGGACUGAGACACGGCCCAAACUCCUACGGGAGGCAGCAGUAGGGAAUCUUCCACAAUGGACGAAAGUCUGAUGGAGCAACGCCGCGUGAGUGAUGAAGGUUUUCGGAUCGUAAAACUCUGUUGUAAGGGAAGAACAAGUACGUUAGGAAAUGAACGUACCUUGACGGUACCUUAUUAGAAAGCCACGGCUAACUACGUGCCAGCACCCCCCGGUAAA
rnacentral:rRNA from 1 species